CCUACGGGGUGCAGCAGUCGAGAAUCAUUCACAAUGGGGGAAACCCUGAUGGUGCGACGCCGCGUGGGGGAAUGAAGGUCUUCGGAUUGUAAACCCCUGUCAUGUGGGAGCAAAUUAAAAAGAUAGUACCACAAGAGGAAGAGACGGCUAACUCUGUGCCAGCAGCCGCGGUAAUACAGAGGUCUCAAGCGUUGUUCGGAAUCACUGGGCGUAAAGCGUGCGUAGACUGUUUCGUAAGUCGUGUGUGAAAGGCGCGGGCUCAACCCGCGGACGGCACAUGAUACUGCGAGACUAGAGUAGUGGAGGGGGAACCGGAAUUCUCGGUGUAGCAGUGAAAUGCGUAGAUAUCGAGAGGAACACUCGUGGCGAAGGCGGGUUCCUGGACAUUAACUGACGCUGAGGCACGAAGGCCAGGGGAGCGAAAGGGAUUAGAUACCCCAGUAGUC
rnacentral:rRNA from 1 species